CGGCGGGCGUGGCGCCCUGCGGGAAUUGGAGGCGUGCUCCAGGAGUCGGUCCCCGCCGGGUCCCCGAGCGCCCCGCGAACGGGGGAAGUCUGUCUCCUCCCACUGGAAGAGAAGUUCCAUGAAGCCUGUGCAGCACCGCAACUGUCCCUCCCUGACCCCAGCAGAAGAUGAAGUUUCAUAGAAGAGCUUAAACCAGAGAGACCCUGGACAGAGGACAUUGGGAACAAUGUGGCCAAGCUUCUACACUGAAAACUGGAGGACUAAGGGGAUGUCUACAUAUUCAAAAAGAGAAGACCCUCUGCAUCUUUCCCUGUUCGUCUCUCCCAAACUCUUCCCCAAGAGCGUAGAUCUCCACUCAGUAUGUCUCAGCACAUUAGGUAAUCUCUGUGGACGGUUUGCUCUCUAGUACUGCUACACAGUUGUUGCCCUGGGAUCUCAGUUUAUCAUACUCUGAGGAUUUCCCCCAGCUUUAUCCUGUUGAUCUCUUAUUACCUGAAUCUCACGUUUCCUCUUUGGUAUAUAACUUUGUCUUGGCUGUGCAUAGCAUCCAGUAGCUGCCUGAGAAAGAGUCCACAGGAUGCCAUUCUUUUGAGAGCCAGCAUGUCUGACAAAGACUUUAUUCUCUCCCCUUAUACUUGAUGGAUCAUUGGGUGGAGGCUUGUCAACUACUGGGCUUUUCUAUGGGGUGUUCUGGCUAAGUUCAUUAGGCAACCCCUGGAUAUCAAUAUCAUUAAUGUCUCCUUCUCCUUCUUCUUCUUCUUCCUCUUCGCCCCGCCCCCUGCUCCCCUGCUCCUUGCCUGUCUCUUCUAAAGAGCAAGAAUUUUGAUUCGCUUACCCCUGUAUCUCUGGUGCCUAGUACCACAGCUGGUACCCAACAGGCAUUUAACUUGAAUUCAAACUAACAACUUAACAUUGAAGUCAAAUAAACUUUAUUUCUUUAUGUAGUGAGCUAUCUAUGAGGGAACUGAAAAUGUGAGAAUAAAUAAUAAAAGAACUCCUCCACUUGAAGGAAUUGUAUGCGACAAUUAAACUCAGCAUCACGAGGAAUGACACCAUCCUUCUGCUUUACUCAACUUCUCAGCAGCAUUUCACAGAGUGGAUGACUGUCUCCUUGAAACUCCUGGCUUCCGGCACAUCUUCUUGGUUCUCCUGCCUCACCGAUUGCUCCUUCCCAGGCUUCUCUGCUGGAGCUCCCACCUAUUCCUGGACUUUCAAUGUUGGAGUGUCUUAGGGUUUAGUCCUCUUCAACACUCUCACCAUAGGUGACCUCACACAGUCCCUUAGCCUUAAAUUCCAUUUAUAUGCUGAUCAUUCCACAUAGCUCUCUCUAGCCCUGGCUUCUCCCCUGAAUGCCAGAUUCUUUUCUUUUUUUUAUUGAAUAGAUAUUUAUUAAGCACUUAUUUACAGUAGGAAUGUUCUAGACCUUGAGACUAUGCUCAAAGAUGGAUCAAAUAUAUAAUUCUCUGUAUAAGAAAAUGAAGUUUGAGUUUCCAAAGAAGAAUGUGGAGAAUUAAGAGUUAUGGAGUUUUGGCUCAGAGUAUCUGUUCCAAUUUUCUUCUUGUGUGAUCUCCCUUUCCUGUGGAGAGCAGAAAGCUAAAACAAAAAUGUCUCCAAUUCAUUUUCAGCUGGUGAUCCAAGUUUGAUUCAGGUUCCACAUCAGAUGCAAUCAUAUGAGACUUGAAAUUUGAACUGAGAUAAAUGGGAUAUAGGGCAUGUGUUUUAUCCAUGCAGAUGAUAGGAAUUGUGGCACGGUUCUGGAGCCAAACUCUGUCUCUGAGGCUUGCUGAUAUAGCAGAAAUGGCUUCUUUCCUCGCCACCCACCCACCCCCUGCCCCCAAGGAAGACUAGCCCUGAGCUAAUAUCUGCUGCCAAUCCUCCUCUUUUUGGGG